GGCGGGAGCGGGAGCAGCUCCGACGGCCGUGCGCCGCUAUCGAAGUACUGGGGCGUCAGCGUAACCAAUACCAUCGGGCCGACCAUGGGGAUCGAGGCGCUCAAGUACAUUAACUAUCCGGCUCAGGUUUGGUUCCGCCUGCUAUUGCCGUCUCACCUUGGUUGUUAUAUGCACUGUCCCGGACAUUGUGUCAUGUUAAUGUUAGGUUCCUGUCGCGGGCACAUGGGUAAUAUUGUCACUGACGCUUAUGGAUUGAGAUGUUCCGAUAGAGUUAAUUGACUAUAUAGGGAGCUCUUUGGAAGUGCUUCCUCAAGUGAACAUUUAGGAAGAACAUUGCAUUGAUUGGAUUGUAUGUGAUAUGGCGACUGGCGAUCGUGUGCGGUAUCGACCAUCGGCAAUCCAUCUCUAGGUGAUUGUCUUGUAUUUCAGAAUGUAACCUUACAUCUUGUAAACGAAUCCAUAAAGCAACUAAUUCUUAGAGUUGGGUCGUGGUAGCUAUCUUAUUGCAGAGAGCAUUGAUCCAAGCAUCGUUCUUGCUCAACGGAUUUGUUUUUUUCUCUUGACAAGCUCGAAGAUAUGUGGCGCGAGGUUUCUUUACGCAAUCCCGACUAAUUUCUGUUGGUGUGAACAGGUGUUGGCAAAAUCUUCUAAGAUGAUCCCUGCAAGUUUACAUUUACUUAAACACACUGCAUAAUAUAUGUGUAUCCCUACAUAAAAGUAUUGACAGUGUACAUUGAGUCCCAGAGUCACUUGUUCUUUUGUUCUUGGACAGUCCAAUUUAAUUUAUUUUGCUGAGUAAAUAAAUCUAUAAAGUGCAGAAUAUAAGUGCAGCGAAAGAUAAUGACUUUUUUUAAAUUUGAGACAUACCCUGCUCAACAAUAUUAUAAUUUUGCAUUAGCAAGAACAAGGAUGGGGAUAUUUUUAUUGAGAUUCAUGUUGGCUCAAUGUGCUUACUACAGAUCGUAAGAUAUUAUAUUGCCUCCGUGUUGUAGACACCUUUGUGGGCCGGUAGUAUGCCAGGCGCCACAAAGGAUAAGUCCUAGUUGGGCUGUUUGUUUAGAAGAUAAGAAGAGAUAAAGAGGGAGUUUGUAACACUAUAAAAACCAUCAACUAAAAAUAAUGCAUUUAGUUAUUAUGAUAAUUAUGGUAAUGAAUUUUUCAUUCAAGUGUUGGUUAUUUAUUUACAUUUGGAAUAAUUUUUGUUUGCUCAUGUUUGAUUUUGGAUUUUUAAUAGCAUUCCUUCUUAAUGAAAAUCCAAUUUAAUAAUAUAAUAAUUAUUAGUCCAAAAAUAAAUAUUGUAGUUAUAAAUAGUUUUGGUAUAAUUAUUAUAAAUUUUAGGGUUAUUUAUAAAUAUAUUUUGAAAUUAGAAAAGAAAUAGAAAAAGAAAAAAGAAACUCUAACCCUAACGACCCACUAGGGGCAAGCCGCGCCGCGCCCUCCCCUGCCUCCCCAGCUGCCGCCGCCAGGGGGAUUUCUCCCCUCCCUGCCGCGCGGGCCCCAUUGGCCAGGGUCCCGCGGGCGUCUCUUCCCCGCGCCCAGGCCGCCGCGCCGCCGUCGCGACCUGACCCCGCGUCCGAGCCGCCGCCGCCAGGACCCGACCCCGCGUCCGAGCCACCCCGCGCGACGCCCCGAGACCGUUCUUCUCCUCGGCGUAAUGGAGCAUCAAACGUUCGUUUCUUCCUUCCCCCACUCUCUCCCCAUUGAUGUCGUCGCCAUUAAUGUCUUUGAAGAACCGUCGGCCGCCUCUCCCUCUCAGCGCCCUCUCCUCUCCCCUGUCUCUCUCUAUAAAUAUCGGCCGUGCCAUGGAGCUCUCCUCCCUACCCGAGCUCGCCCCCUCUCUCUCACUCUCCUUGCUCGCCCACGUCAUCGCCGGAGCUCGCCCACGUCGUCGCUCGCCGGAGCUUCGUAGACCGUGCAGCCCCCGCUGUGCCGGAGCUUCGUAGACCGUGCAGCCCCCGCCGGAGCCGCCUGACGUCGAGCCCCUGCCCUUCUCCACUUGGCCGACAUCCCCAUCGAACUCUCCCCCUUCACACGAGCAAGCUCAAGGUGGAAGACGACCCAAAAUAAUUUUAUGUAUUUUCGAAAUCACUUUUUGAUUCAGUUUGUGAAUUUUAUAAUUAUUGUGUUGUAAUAUGAGAAUGUUGUAAUUCAGAAUUCAUGCGUAUGUGCACUAUGGAUUUUUGGUAGAUAUAUGCGAUAAAUUAGUGCACCGUUAUUAGUCAUGUUAUUUGUUUAUGAUGACUUUUAGAAAGUUGGAUUAGAGAGAAGUAUGACAAAAAAAUUGAUAGACACAUGAUGGUGAUAAAAACACUAGAUAGGUAAUUUUAUAGUUAAUUUUGUUCACAAUGGAUUUUGGAAAUUAUUUAGAAGGUUAUAAUCAUAAGUUCAUUUUAAUAGAUAAUAGAAGCUUUUCUUAACAUGGAAUUAGUAAAUGGUAUACGAUUCAUGGCAAUAUAAAUAUUAUAGGUUAUUAGAUGAUUUAUCUCUGAUUAUUAUUAAUGAUAAUUUCGUUUAGGAAGAAAAUAUAAAACUAAAAGAAUAUCACUAGUCGUAACAAAAAUUGGUUUUUACUAAGCCAAAAUAAAGGUGUUCAUAAGUAUAUCAUUUAACUUCUUAGAAUUAGUAAAAUACUUUUUAUGUCAAAAUAACCAUGUUUAUGUUAUAAAAAGCCCAAUUGGUGAUUUAUAUUGAUUCUUAGAAUAUUAAUGUUAGUAGAGUCAUGAAUGAACCAUUUUUAGCUAUACACAAAAGUUCUGUUUAGAAAUAAAAGGAAUAAAAUCUAUCAGUCAAUUAUUAGUAAUAAUUAACCUUUAUUUUCAUAAAGAAUUAUUAUAGCCACCUACUCAUAAUUUCAUCAAUAAUGCUCGCAUUAAUAGUCAUAAUGAAUUAAUAAGUAUUUACGCGUUAAGACGUAUUUAUGAGUGUGAUAAGUGUGACGUAUGAAGGGUGAAUGAUUACCCUUAUAUUGGUGUAUGUUUAUUUAUUUGGUGUACGUAUUCUUUUGUAUGUGUGAUACGCAAAUCGAUCCUAGAAGUGGACUGUGAGUUAGACGAGCCUAACACGUUCGAGGACGACCCGCAGGACACGUUCGAGCAAGGCAAGUGGAUUCUCCCUCUGCAUAUUCUAUUUGUACCCAAUUAAUGCAUUUAAUAAUAUUUACUUUUUUGAUAUAUUGCAUAAUUUGAUGGGAUUCGCCUAAUUAAGGAUUUUCUAGAUUUAUCAACUGUAUUCCUUGAUUACCAUGGGAAAAUAAUAUGCUUUGCAAAUUUGUGCUACCGCGCAACCUGAAAAUUUUGAUGUCACUCAUUAUUUGAUAUUAAUGUUCCGGAAAUGAAAUUGACAUUAUAGUGUUAACCCGAUGGUUAAACAAUAUUAUUUCAUAUUAAUUGGAACAUGGAGUGACCACACAGGACAGUACAACCACGAGUGCUAUCAUGGCUCUGGCUUUGGUAACUAGCUUUAUAUGCUUAGUACCUAGCAACCUUACCUGAAAUAUGGACAAGAGGGGGAGCGACAGUGGUGGCAGCUCACGUUAACAUGCGGACGUAUUCUUGGCUAAGGUACCUCGCCCAGAGGGCUUCACACCGACUUGGAAACCUUAGCGGGCUGCUUUGUAUUAAGUGUAUUUUGUGAAAGCCUCAUAAUAGAUCCCUAGCCAUUCACCUUGGUAGUUUUUACGGGUCCGAUCAACCCAGGCUAGAUGGGAUACAUGGCUUGUGGGUAAAGUUGUACCACCUCUGUAGAGUGUAAAACUGAUAUGUCAGCCGCGCUCACGGUUAAGAGUAACCUGGACCCUCACAUGAUAAUUGAACUUAAAGAUGGACAAUAAAUCGAGAUCUGAUGAUCUGCCAAUGGUUUGAUUAAGUGGUUUCACAUAAGUGUUUUUGAUAUACUCUUAUACCUUUGUUUAAAUGGGAUACUUGGAAUACACACUUAUUAUUAAGACAGGUGUUGCUAAUAAAAUAUUGACCAACUAAAAUGCUUACUGCUUAACCUUAGCCUCACCUUGUUAAACUUGCAUUAAUUUUUCUCCCACUUGCUGAGCCCCGACCAUAAGUGAGCUCACCCUUGCUAAUAUUUUGAUCAGAGGGUGAUGAAGAAGACAUUGAUGGAGAUUUCGAUAAAUACUAAGUCUAACGAUGCGCCGGUCAUCUUCCUGUGGGAGAUUACCCAUGUUAUUUCCGCUUUACUUUGAUGAUACAUUUUAAAACACUAUUAUCUGGAUGUUGUAAUAAAGACUAUUUUACUCUCUUUACGCCUUUAUUGGAUUGUCUUUUGAUAUAUAUUACACUUGUGAUGUCAACAUAUGUAUGGAAAUGGAUCUUGGCACACAUAUGCUAUGCAUUCGGUUUUGCCUGACAGAAGUGGUAUCAGAGUUAUGCUGACCAUAAGUCGUUAGACUAGUUAGAAAUGGAAAGUCUAGUUUGUUCAAAACUUCCUAAUUUCAUUCUUAUAAAAUUAUUUUACCAAUCUUACCUCUUUAAAAUUCAACUGAGUUGACAUUUCGUUUGUAGAUGGUUCGUACUCUACAAACCACCCGAGUUAACACCAACUACGCUCCUCCGCCACGACAAGCUUCUGUCUACCCAGUGAUAGUGGAGAAAGUUUCGGUGGAUCUCCCUCGCAUUCGAGUGGAGCACGGAGUCAUCAUCGAAGACAUCUCGGAGGAACUUCUGCCGACGCCCACCCCGUUGGCAGAGUCACUGGCCUUCGCAGCUAGGUCAUCAACCUCAGCACCGCCUGCACCAGUCGUUCAAGCUCCUGCACCCGGAGACGAUGACCCAGACGACUCUAGGGACAACGAUGACAACGACGACGAGGAGAACGUCAAUGAGGAGGCCAACGAUGCCCAGCAGGACUACUUCAUGGGGUUUGGGCCUGUCACCGAACAUUACACAUCAAUGUUCGAGACGGGGCACUUCCCCAACCUGCUGCAAGACGUGUUGCACGCGUUGGGAACCUACGUCUGACCCUUGUACGAGACAAGGCGAGUGUGCGAGCCUCCCCGGGCUUGCUACUACAUCACUCGCAUCCACGUCAGGGUGAUGGAUGCAGGGGAUAGGGGGUUCAGGACUCUAUCGGCUCAUGAGUCCCUGACACCGCUAUCCACCUACGCUGCUUCGGUCAGCGAUGCUGCCAGACGGACUUUGUGGUCUCUCAGCCAUACCUACCGGCAGUAGCUGCAUGACACGAGGUUCAGACAUCUUCCUCUGUGUCUAAGUGGAGGAAGCCAGACCAGCAUCGUUCCAGGUGGAGCUGGUGAGGAUCGCCUCAACACCCUAGCUGGUGUAGUGGUCGGUCUUAAUACCGACCUGGACAGUGCCACCCUGGAUCUCUCUAGAGUACACUUGGAGCUGAAGGAUGCCCAUGCCAGGAUUGCAGCCCUGGAAGCCCUACUUCAAGGACGUGGAUCCCCCUGAAGCCCAGGUCCUCGCCAUGGCGUUGUCCCCUCCCCGCAUGAGAGAAAGUAGGCGGGUGAUGGCUCAUAAAAUCCCGAUGCUUAUCUCUAGCCGGUGGUGCAUUCUGCUGGUGCUGUUGGUUCUGCUGGUUUUGCUGAAUCUGUUGAACAGAUGCAGUGAGUCCUUGCAUAAGCUGCAUCUGAGCGGCGAUAAACUGCUCCAUGUUAGGAUUCGAUGGUGGUGUUGGUAUCUGAAAGGGAAAUGUGCCUUUGGACCAUUUCUAAGUAUUUUGGCGAUUGAGUGCAAACACAAGUGCUUAAAUGUGCCCAUGGUUGAACAAAGUGCAAAUCACAAGUAAAGGUAUGUUUCUAAACCUUAGUACAUUGGUUUUGUGUACUAAUAUCUUGUCUAAGUGUUAGAAACAGGAAGAAGAAGAAAAGAAAAGAAGUGGAGAGUGGCUGUGUACAGCCAAAGGCUGUUUCGGGCUGGGGCACCGGACUGUCCGGUGUGCACCGGACAGUGUCCGGUGCGCCAGACCAGCAUGGAGCAAACCAGCCGCUCUCGGGUUUUUCUCCGGCGACUUCGGCUAAAAUUCACCGGACUGUCCGGUGUGCACCGGACUGUCCGGUGAGCCAACGGUCGGCCGGGCCAACGGUCGGCCGCGCGAUCGGCGCGCGACACGUGGCCGAGCCAACGGUAGGAAAGAUACACCGGACUGUCCGGUGUGCACCGGACAUGUCCGGUGCGCCAACUGUGCGCAGAUCUGCAUCAGAAAGCAACGGUCGGAUGAGCUUUUUAUGGAAACAAAUCGGGCACCGGACAGUGUCCGGUGUGCACCGGACUGUCCGGUGCGCCCGACGACAGAAGACAAGGAUAGCCUUCCAGAUGUGUUCUCAACGGCUCCUAGCUGCCUUGGGGCUAUAAAAGGGACCCCUAGGCGCAUGGAGGAUGUCACCAAGCAUUCCUACAACCUUUCUAAGCACCAAGACAUUGAUCUAGCGCAUUCGAUUCAUUGUGAUAGCAUAUAGAGCUCUUGUGGAGUUGUUUACUCUUUGAGUUGUGUUGCGAGCUCUUAUUGCUGCUUGUGUGCGUGUUGCUCUGAUCUUUUGAAGUCUUGUGUGCGUUGCUCAUUUCCUCCCUUGCUCCGUGAUUCUCUGUGAACAUCUUUUGUAAGGGCGAGAGGCUCCAAGUUGUGGAGAUUCCUCGCAAACGGGAUUGAGAAAAGAAAAGCAAGAACACCGUGGUAUUCAAGUUGAUCAUUGGAUCACUUGAGAGGAGUUGAGUGCAACUCUCGUCCGCUGGGACGCCACAACGUGGAGUAGGCAAGUUUUUGUACUUGGCCGAACCACGGGAUAACCACCGUGUCAUCUCUGUGAUUGAUUUCUUGUGGUUAUUGUGUUUUGACUCCUCUCUAGCCACUUGGCCAUACUUGUGCUAACACUUAACAAGUUUUUGUGACUUAAGUUUUGAAGUUUUACAGGAUCACCUAUUCACCCCCCCCUCUAGGUGCUCUCAGUAUCUGUUGACCACGCUGGUUCCUGUUGUUGUUGGAUCCUGAACGAGCGUUCACCAUCUGAUUUGUUAGAAAGUGAACUUUUUAGAGGAGUGAAGAGUAAUAAAGAUUCUAGAGAGGAAUAACUUAAGUUUAUUUUUUUAUAUGCUCUUAUGACCAUCAUUCCAUAAGACCAUUGCACUCAAACAAAAAUCCAACUCAAACGUAGUAACCAACACCAACACAUGGUUGUUAUUAUUAUAAAGAUAACUUAUAAAAGGGUAUUCAUCGUCUGACGUGAAAACUAUCUUAUUACAACUUAUAACUUAAAAUUUCAAAGCAGCCUCGUGAUGGAUCCGGGUUCCCCAUAGCGAAUCCUCUUGCGGGGAGGGGACAACGCCAUGGCGGGGACCUGGGCUUCAGGGGGAUCCUGUCCUUGAAGUAGGGCUUCCAGGGCUGCAAUCCUGGCAUGGGCAUCCUCCAGCUCCAAGUGCACCCUAGAGAGAUCCAGGGUGGCACUAUCCAGGUCAGUGUUAAGACCGGCCACUACACCAGCUAGGGUGUUGAGGCGAUACUCACCAGCUCCACCUGAAACGAUGCUGGUCUGGCUUCCUCCACUUAGACGCAGAGGAAGAUGCCUGAACCUCGUGUCAUGUAGCUGCUGCCGGUAGGUAUGGCUGAGAGACCACAAAGUUCGUCUGGCAGCAUCGCUGACCGAAGCAGCGUAGGUGGAUAGCUGUGUCAGGGACUCAUGAGCCGAUAGAGUCCUGAAACCCCUAUCCCCUGCAUCCAUCACCCUGACGUGGAUGCGAGUGAUGUAGUAGCAAGCCCGGGGAGGCUCGCACACUCGCCUUGUCUCGUACAAGGGUCGGACGUAGGUUCCCAACGCGUGCAACACGUCUUGCAGCAGGUUGGGGAAGUGCCCCGUCUCGAACAUUGAUGUGUAAUGUUCGGUGACAGACCCAAACCCCAUGAAGUAGUCCUGCUGGGCAUCGUUGGCCUCCUCGUUGACGUUCUCCUCGUCGUCGUUGUCAUCGUUGUCCCUAGAGUCGUCUGGGUCAUCGUCUCCGGGUCCAGGAGCUUGAACGACUGGUGCAGGCGGUGCUGAGGUUGAUGACCUAGCUGCGAAGGCCAGUGACUCUGCCAACGGGGUGGGCGUCGGCAGAAGUUCCUCCGAGAUGUCUUCCAUUAUGACUCUGUGCUCCACUCGAAUGCGAGGUAGAUCCACCGGAACUUCAUCAACUAUCACUGGGUAGACAGAAGCUUGACGUGGCGGAGGGACGUAGUUGGUGUUAACUCGGGUGGUUUGGAGAGUACGAACCAUCUACAAGAGAAAUGUCAACUCAUUUGAAUUUUAAAGAAGUAAGGCUGAUAAAAUAGUUUUAUAAGAAUGAAAUUAGCAUGUUUUGAACAAACUAGGCUUUCCAUUUCUAACUAGUCUAACGACCUAGGGUCAGCAUAGCUCUAAUACCACUUCUGUCAGGCAAAACCGAAUGCAUAGCAUGUGUGACAAGAUACAUUUCCACACAUAUGUUGACGUCACAAGUGUAAUAUAUCAAAAUACAAUGCAAUAAAAACGUAAAGACAGUAGAAUAUUCUUUAUUACAACAUCCAAAUAAUAGUAUUUUAAAAUGUAUCAUCAAAGUAAAGCGGAAAUAACAUGGGUAUUCUCCCACAGGAAGAUGACCGGCGCAUCGUUAGGCUCAGUAUUCAUCGAAAUCUCCAUCAAUGUCUUUUUCAUCACCCUCUGAUAAAAAUAUUAGCAAGGGUGAGCUCACUUAUGGUCGGGGCUCAGCAAGUGGAGGAAAAAUUAAUGCAAGUUUAACAAGGUGAUGUUAAGGUUAAGCAGUAAGCAUUUUAGUUGGUCAAUAUUUUAUUAGCAACAUCUGCCUUACUAAUAAGUGUGUAUCCCAAGUAUCCCAUUUAAACAAAGAUAUAAGAGUAUAUCAAAAACACUUAAGUGAAACUACUUAAGCAAACCAUUGGUAGAUCAUCAGAUCUCGAUUUAUUGUCCAUCUUUAAGUUCAAUUAUCAUGUGAGGGUCCAUGUUGCUCUUAACCGUGAGCACUGCUGACAUAUCAGUUUUACACUCUGCAGAGGUGGUACAACUUUAUCCACAAGCCAUAUAUCCCAUCUAGCCUGGGUUGAUCGGACCCGUAAAAACAACCAAGGUGAAUGGCUAGGGAUCCAUUAUGAUGCUUUCACAAAAUACACUUAAUAUAAAACAACCCGCUAAGGUUUCCAAGUCGGUGUGGAGGCCCUUUGGGCGAGGUACCUUAGCCAAUAAUACGUCCCCAUGUUAACGUGAGCUGCCACCACUGCCGCUCUCCCUCUUGCCCAUAUUUCAGGUAAGGUUGCUAGGUACUAAGCAUAUAAAACUAAUUACCAAAGACAAAGCCAUGAUAACACUCGUGGUUGCACUGUUAUCAUGGGUGAUCACUGCAUGUUCCAAUUAAUAUGAAAUAAUCUUGUUUAACCAUUAGGUUAAUACCAUAAUGUCAAUUUCAUUUCUGGAACAUUAAUAUCAAAUAAUGAGUGACAUCAAAAUUAUCAAGUUGAGCGGUAGCACAAAUUUGCGAAGCAUAGUAUUUUCCCAGGAUAAUCAAGGAAUACAGUUGGUAAAUCUAGGAAAUCCUUAAUUAGGCGAAUGCCAUCAAAUUAUGCAAUAUAUCUAAAAAGUAAACAUUAUUAAAUGCAUUAAUUGGGUACAAAUAGAAUAUGCAGAGGGAGAAUCAACUUGCCUUGCUCGAACGUGUCCUGCGGGUCGUCCUCGAACGUGUUAGGCUCGUCUAACUCACAAUCCACUUAUAACAUCGAUUUGCACAUCGCACAUACAAAAGAAUGCGUUUUAUGCUCCAUUACGCCGAGGACAAGAACGGGCGCGGGGCGUCGCGCGGGGUGGCUCGGACGCGGGGUCUUAACCCUGUUUUGUGAAUACUAAUUAUGGUAAACCUCUUUUGCCAAUUAAACUAAUGGCAUUGUGUAUUAUUUGCCUACAUGAUUUAACUGUUUAAGUUUCCAGUAUGCAAUGAGUUGUUGGAUCUUAUUGUUAUUGUUUACUGAAACUAUUCCAAUAGUUUAUAAUACCAAAACUAUUCUGAGUUGUUGGGUUAGUAAGAGCAACUCCAACAACCUCUCUAACUCAUUUUCCAAUGGUAAAAAAUGAAAAUCAGUAGAAGUCCGUUCCAACGGUCUCGGUAAACUCCUCCCUCGCAACCCCGCUCGACAUUCCAUCCCCUCGCCUCGCAACCUUUGGCGAGCUCCUCCGCCUCGCAAUACUAGUGAUUCUAUGUAUCUAAAUAUUUUGUCAUUAAAUGUAUUCUUCCUCAACAUUGCAUGCAGCAUAUUUGAUUAUUCUCCUCUGACUAGCAAUUCAAUAUAUACAGUAAUGCUGAUGGGAACCCUUCUCUAUAGUGUGAAGUACACACUUCCAGAGUAUUUUUGUACCUUUCUUGUUGCUGGCGGUGUGUCCUCCUUUGCGUUGUUGAAG
rnacentral:lncRNA from 1 species